rnacentral:rRNA from 1 species
GAUGAACGCUGGCGGCGUGCCUAAUACAUGCAAGUCGAGCGAACGGACGAGAAGCUUGCUUCUCUGAUGCUAGCGGCGGACGGGUGAGUAACACGUGGAUAACCUACCUAUGAGACUGGGAUAACUUCGGGAAACCGGAGCUAAUACCGGAUAAUAUUUUGAACCGCAUGGUUCAAAAGUGAAAGACGGUCUUGCUGUCACUUAUAGAUGGAUCCGCGCUGCAUUAGCUAGUUGGUAAGGUAACGGCUUACCAAGGCAACGAUGCAUAGCCGACCUGAGAGGGUGAUCGGCCACACUGGAACUGAGACACGGUCCAGACUCCUACGGGAGGCAGCAGUAGGGAAUCUUCCGCAAUGGGCGAAAGCCUGACGGAGCAACGCCGCGUGAGUGAUGAAGGUCUUCGGAUCGUAAAACUCUGUUAUUAGGGAAGAACAUAUGUGUAAGUAACUGUGCACAUCUUGACGGUACCUAAUCAGAAAGCCACGGCUAACUACGUG